rnacentral:lncRNA from 1 species
CUCGACCAUGUAUGAGGAUUAAAUAACUCAAAUUUAAAUUUGUCCAAAUAUAUACCGUUGUUUUUAUCUCUCGCCUCAAUGGGCGUGCCAAGUGCAGUAAAAUCCAGCAAAGCUAUGCGUUGUUGGUUGGGAAAGGCAGCUGGGGCGCUGGCGCUGCUCUGGUUCCGGAGCUCACGUGUCCCGACCGGCACGCUGACUGGUGCGAGCCAUGCUCCGUUUCGUUUUCUUUCCUUUCAUCGCUGAUCUGCUUUGCCGUGUUGCUGAUAGUUACCUCUCUUUGGUGUCUGUGAUGUCGCUGGAUCGCAGAGUGAUCCGUUUUUGUUUUUCUUUGGCAUAACGAGUCCUGCCUCUGUUGAUUUACGACAGAGUUGCCUACAUGGCCCGCCAGCGAUUGUCGUGAGCACGUCAAACCAAACAGUUGUGGGGCAUCUCCACCGGCUGAUUCGCUGCCGUUACCUAACGUCGUGUGUCAGAUUUUUCUUAGAUGGAAGAGAGAAAGUAGGAAAAAAAACAUACUACUCCUGCAAGACACUGCUACCUCAUGGGUAUCAAAUCUAAUCGAAUCCGAACCACCCAAUCUAAUCGAAUCCGAACCACGCUUGGUUUGCUCGGGUCAACGGGUGAAUACACUCUACUUUCGCCAGUACAUUUCGAAGGUCCCGUCACCAUAGACGUUAAAAUGGAUCUGGGAAAUGUGGAGACGACAGCAGUUGCCGAUCCCUCUCUGCCUUUUCCCGUUUUCCGGCCGGGCAGCAGGGGAGGAACGGCCACCUGGUUCUUCCAUGUUGAAUCAAUGGACCAUCCGUAGCAAAGGCGUCUGGUGCAGCAGGGCUCAGGCUGCUGCCGAUGGAGCACUGGUGGCACCUGACCACGUCCUCGAAGCAUCCAACAGCGCCCAACGCCGCCGCCGCGCGCGCGUCGUCGUCACAGACGCCGUCGUCCUCCGUCAUUGACGUUGGCAAAGCAUCUCCGUGCGCGCCCGCCGCCGCCGACCCCCUCACGGCACCCAGCAGCACGCACGAUCAUCUUCAUCGUCCUCGUCGUGAUGAACGCUCUCCUCGGCGCCGCUGUAUUCUUCUCUGGCGUCGAUGGUCGUGAUCUCGGGGCAGCGUGAGGCGUGGAUCGUCCGCGUCACGACGGGCGCUCCGCGGUGAACGGCGGUGUCGGAGACGAGAAGGGAGCGGAGGCCGACGACGAGAUCGGUGGCGAAUUUCUCGUCGGAGCGGGAGGAGACGAUGGGCAGCGGCAUUGGAUCGGAUAGGAUUGGAUGGUGGGCGCUGGGCGGUGAAGAAGGGACCGCUGGAACGGACGGUGAGGAUGAUGAUCCGAGCUUUUGAGGGUUGACGAUGCUUUUAUACGUCGACGGGAGGCGUUUACUUUACUCUCUCCGGGAAGGCAGGAAAGGAAGGAGGAAGGCGAUCGGGGCACAUGACGAUGAGAUCUUCAAGUGGCAUGUACUCCGGUUACAAUUCUUUUCUGUAAAUCGUGGCCCGUUUGACCGGCAUUCCUUCCGGGCUGAUUCUAGCACAAAGUUCCGGCCCAGGUAGAUGAUCGGCAGCCCGCAAAUAAACUGCCUGCUUCUCUAGAGCGCACACUAGUUCUUCCUGACCUGCACACAAGCCUCUUACGCAGCCCACGGGCCACAUGGAUCGAUAUAAACUUACUGAUAUAAAAACAAUAAAAACUGACGUUGAAUUUUCGACACCGCAGCCACGAACCUGACGGGGAAACGCAUGGCUGAUACUGAUACUAGACAAGAGGAGAGAAAGCCUGUCGUGCUUUACACAUACCUCUGACGACGCUCAGCACUGAGCUGACAGCGAUAAAGUCCAGUCCUUUUUCCCCCCUCUCCCGCGUUUCGACACUCGGCGCCUGCGUGUCCUCGUAGCGAAUGGUUUCUGAACCACCAUCUAUCUUGGCUAGAAUUUCACUCGCAGAUUACAUAUUCUCCACUAGGCUGAGAAGUUCCGCUUUAUUCUUUGCCAAAUGCGUCUGCUGCUGCUACUCUGUUGUCCUGCAUACUCGUACUUGCACUAGCAGCGGAUCUUUUUCAGGUGUCAGUAGCUCCAUGGCUGCACUACCGCUUGUAGCAUAGUGCUAGACAAGAUCAGAAAAGGAAGUCGCGGUGAGAUCUAUUUAUUUGUUUAUUCAUGUGCACAAAGAACUUAUUGGCAUAUGUCCUGCCUGCAAACCAAGCAUGUUUGCCACUAACCACCUACAGAUUCUGCAGCGAAGAGAUAGAUGCCACACAACUCUGAUAUUUAGAGCAAAUCAUUUGGGAAUCGACCACACAACACUGAUAUUUAGGGCAAAUCAUUUGGGAAUCAACAAAGGAAAUCGGUAUAGAAGAAAGAACAAAAGAGGAACGGGCGGUGGUGGAGUAGACCAUGUGGAUCCAAUCCAAUCAUCAGUUCAGUACUCUUCAAAAAAAAAAAAGAAUCAUCAGUUCAGUUCAUGUGGCAUAGAGUUCAGUUAAGUUAACAACAAUACCAGGCACUCUAGUCUCUGAAGGAUCAGAUUCCAAGUUGCAGACUAAACAACAACAGGAUGGCCGAUGGUGAUAUCUUGGGCAGAUAU